rnacentral:misc_RNA from 1 species
AAAACCUUAAGCUAAAUACUAGGAUCAAUUUUCUUAGUUUUCUCCCACAUAUGGCUUCUAAUAGUAAUGUUGUUUUUGGUGAUGAGGAAAGCCAGAUUUCUGGUGGGACUAAUAGAGUUCAACCUUGUUCUUCUACACCAAGAAAGAUUAAUACUAUUGAUGAUGAUGAGGGAAAGAAGCACAAUUUUCUUUCACUCUCUCAAAGGCUGGGCGUUGCUGACUUUUUUUGUUUGGAUGUAUGGCGAGCAUCGAUGGGAGAACUCCUAGGUUCAGCGGUUCUUGUUUUCAUGUUGGAUACUAUAGUAAUUUCCACUUUCGAAAGUGAGACGAAAAUGCCAAAUUUGAUCAUGUCCAUUCUCAUAGCAGUUGUGAUCACAAUUCUACUCCUGGCUGUUGUUCCGGUGUCCGGAGGCCAUAUCAAUCCGGUUAUCUCUUUCUCGGCCGCGCUCGUCGGAAUUAUAUCGAUGUCAAGAGCCAUAAUUUACAUUGUGGCACAAUGUGUUGGUGCAAUUUUAGGUGCACUAGCUCUCAGAGCUGUGGUUAGUUCAUCGAUUGAAGACACUUUCUCACUCGGUGGUUGUACCGUCACAAUAAUUGCACCGGGCCCAAAUGGGCCUGUUAUUGUGGGCCUAGAGACGGCCCAAGCCUUAUGGCUAGAGAUCUUUUGUACAUUUGUUUUUCUCUUUGCUUCAAUUUGGAUGGCUUAUGAUCAUAGACAAGCUAAGGCUCUUGGCCAUGUAACUGUCUUGUCCAUUGUUGGUCUAGUGUUAGGCCUUCUAGUGUUUAUCUCGACCACGGUGACCGCAAAAAAGGGCUACGGAGGGGCUGGGAUUAACCCGGCGAGAUGUUUGGGGCCAGCUAUUAUUAGAGGAGGUCACCUUUGGGAUGGACAUUGGAUCUUUUGGGUUGGACCAACUAUUGGUUGUGUAGCCUUCUAUGUGUACACAAAAAUCAUUCCAACAAAGCAUUUUCUUGCAGAAUAUGGAUUUAAGCAUGAUUUUGUUGGAGUUGUUAAGGCUUUGUCGAAUGUAUAAAGGCCCAAAUGUAACAAUGGGCCUAUGGGCCAAUGUUAAACUAAUGUGUAAUAGGACUUGAGUACUAGUUACAUAGAACAUAUCAUAUUGUCCCUACCUAGUACCUCUACUUGAUGUAAUUUAAGCUUAAACUUGUCAAUGUUUCAACAUG